rnacentral:tRNA from 1 species
GGGGUCUUAGCUCAGCUGGGAGAGCACCUGCCUUACAAGCAGGGGGUCAUAGGUUCGAGCCCUAUAGGCCCCA